rnacentral:rRNA from 1 species
GACGAACGCUGGCGGCGUGCUUAACACAUGCAAGUCGAACGGAAAGGCCCUGCUUUUGUGGGGUGCUCGAGUGGCGAACGGGUGAGUAACACGUGAGUAACCUGCCCUUGACUUUGGGAUAACUUCAGGAAACUGGGGCUAAUACCGGAUAGGAGCUCCUGCUGCAUGGUGGGGGUUGGAAAGUUUCGGCGGUUGGGGAUGGACUCGCGGCUUAUCAGCUUGUUGGUGGGGUAGUGGCUUACCAGGGCUUUGACGGGUAGCCGGCCUGAGAGGGUGACCGGCCACAUUGGGACUGAGAUACGGCCCAGACUCCUACGGGAGGCAGCAGUGGGGAAUAUUGCACAAUGGGCGGAAGCCUGAUGCAGCAACGCCGCGUGCGGGAUGACGGCCUUCGGGUUGUAAACCGCUUUCGCCUGUGACGAAGCGUGAGUGACGGUAAUGGGUAAAGAAGCACCGGCUAACUACGUG